AUAUUUGUAUUUAAAAUUUAUUAAAUUCAUACAUAAUUUUAUAAUAUAUAAAUUAUACAUAGAUAUAAAAGUCUUAAUUAAUAAUUAAAACAUGAUUAAGUUAUGCUCAGAAGAGAUAAUCUCACAUUUCUAUUUAAAAAUUGACAAAAUUUAUAAAUAUAAAUUUCAACUGCAGACUACCAAACGGAAGAAAUGUCACUGCAGCAGUUGUAACUUUAUAAAACCAAACAGACUAGGUAAGCAGUUGUAACUUUAUAAAACCAAACAGACUAGGUAUAGUUAUAGAGUACUAAAGUUAGAAAGCGUGAAACUACAGAGAUGGUAUUUGAAGUUUACCCUAAAUUAAAUUAGAAUAAAUUAAUA
rnacentral:lncRNA from 1 species